GAACAAUGGUCCCACAGUGCAGCUGCCAGAUUCCCACACAUCACAUAGCUCGGUUGAAUACUUUUGUUUGCAUCCAGCCAAAGCACAGAGAUGUUACUCCUUGCCAGGACCCUCUCCUCCCCCUCUCAAAGAUGCCAUGCUGCCUGGUACCACUAUCAUCUCUUAACAGCAAUCGCCAUGCUCCUGUGGGUGGUUCAGUCUCUGGCUAUCACGGUGAUGGUCUGUGUAAUAGUCACUAACUGGUGUGUAGUCAAGAGCACCGAGUUUUUAAAGGGUGUGAUCCGUAAACUCUGGUAAACAAGGCCUGGAGUCAACUGUGAAGAACUAACUCCCUCUACAUUUACGUCCCAACUGCAUCCAGAGAACAAACACAGCGGUUACACGGCCUGGCUAAGAAGAGCACAAAGGAGUGCACGGAAAAGGGAACGGAGGAGAGUGGGGAAGUUGUUGUCUGCGUAGUACUGGUCUGUACAGGCUGGUGGCGGUGGCAUUCCUAGGGGUCGCCCUGAUCGUGCCUCAGGUGUAUACACUUUUCAGGCCAAGCUCUUCUCGUUUUUGCGGCCAACCACUUCUCAACAACCUGAUCUGCAACAUCAUCUUCAGCCUGUUCACAGCAGCGUUUGCACUCAUCCUCAUUCUCGUGGAGCCGUUGCCAUGCUGGCUGAAGUCACUUUUCCACGCUUUUGGGGUGGCCUCCUUCAUUGAGGGGAUCUGCACUGUCUUGAUCUCAUCACUGGCGGCAGAAUGUGCCAUAAGCACACCAGCGCUGUACCACCUGUCUGUGGUGCUGUCCACCAUCAGUGUCCUAUCCACAGUGUUUUUCCUCAUCGCUGGCCCCUUUUGGCUUUCAAACUUCAUCUUCCCUGGGAUGGUCCUCAGUAAGGAGUCUAGAACGGGCAUCUGCUACGAAGUAGUGACCUGCUGCCCGUGCACAUGGCACGUCUAAGGAGUGGAAACUGCACUGGUUUAUAAAGAACGACUGAUGGAAGAAGAGGCGGCCCGAGCACAGUGAGGACAAAUGCACCUCCUCGCCCUGCAAAUCACUGCACAAAACCGGCAGAACAGAGGAGCAUUCAGCUUCUGUGGGAAACAAAGGGGCCUUCCCACUAUGGAGCUGGGGAGAGCGAUUUCUAGCAGCAGCCACAAAGGGGGAGAUGGGAGGGGGGCUCCUGGCUGCCUCAGUCUCCCACUGAUUGGCAGCCUCUGUGCUAGGACUUGUUGGCCGGGAUCCUACAUAGACAAAUUCAGAGAUUAGUGAGCAGAAAUAAAGGAGCAGAGGAAGAAGGGGGGGGGGGGCAUUUACUACUGCAGCAGAUCAGAGACAAAGCGAAUGGCUGAGAACCUGCACUAACACAGAGGCAUGCCGAUAUACGGGGGUAUACUAAUCUCUGCGGUUUAGAAGCAUUUCCCAUUUACAAAACAGUAACUAAAAAAUGCAUC